rnacentral:snoRNA from 2 species
CCCCUCUCAGGAUCACACCUGGAGAGUUUCAAGUACUCUAACAGUCUUGGUUAUGGGAGGGAGAAUCAAGUAGAGGCAUACCCAUUCCAUUGCUAGCUUGGGCAGUGACUAGAGAGUGGAAGGCAAUCUGCUACAAAU